rnacentral:rRNA from 1 species
UACGUAGGUCCCGAGCGUUGUCCGGAUUUAUUGGACGUAAAGCGAGCGCAGGUGGUUUAUUAAGUCUGGUGUAAAAGGCAGUGGCUCAACCAUUGUAUGCAUUGGAAACUGGUAGACUUGAGUGCAGGAGAGGAGAGUGGAAUUCCAUGUGUAGCGGUGAAAUGCGUAGAUAUAUGGAGGAACACCGGUGGCGAAAGCGGCUCUCUGGUCUGUAACUGACGCUGAGGUUCGAAAGCGUGGGUAGCAAACAGG